UACGUAGGGUGCGAGCGUUAAUCGGAAUUACUGGGCGUAAAGCGUGCGUAGGCGGUUCGUUAAGUCAGCUGUGAAAGCCCCGGGCUCAACCUGGGAAUUGCGGUUGAAACUGGCGAACUAGAAUCUGGCAGAGGGGGGGUAGAAUUCCACGUGUAGCAGUGAAAUGCGUAGAGAUGUGGAGGAACACCGAUGGCGAAGGCAGCCCCCUGGGUCAAGAUUGACGCUCAUGCACGAAAGCGUGGGGAGCAAACAGG
rnacentral:rRNA from 1 species